rnacentral:lncRNA from 1 species
GCAGCUGACCCUUCUAAAGAUGACCCUUUAUAAUAUGGGCUAUUUAGAGGUUUGUAAUAUUGGCCCUUAUUGGGUCGAGAGAUGAUAGGUUUUAUAUGCAUGCAAUCAUGUGAAUGUGAUUCAUGUCUUGUUGAAAACACGGAGAAGUAAGCAUGUGGUUGGGUGUGAAUAUGCGAUGCAUAUGGCUGAGAGAUUCUCUCAGAGACUACUUUUAGCAAGAAAGCAACUGAAAACACUUUAAAGAUUAUAAAAACUUGGAAA